rnacentral:rRNA from 1 species
GACGAACGCUGGCGGCGUGCUUAACACAUGCAAGUCGUACGGAAAGGUCAUGCUCUUGCGGGGUGCUCGAGUGGCGAACGGGUGAGUAACACGUGUGUAACAUGCCCUUGUCUUUGGGAUAACUUCAGGAAACAGGGGCUCAUACCGGAUAGGAGCUCUUGAUGCAUGGUGGGCGUUGGAAAGUUUCGGCGGUUGGGGCUGGACGGGCAGCUUAUCAGCUUGUUGGUGGGGUAGUGGCUUACAAAGGGUUUGACGGGUAGCCGGCCUGGGAGGGGGACCGGCGACAUGGGGACUGAGAGACGGCGCAGACGCCUACGGUAGGCAGCAGGGGGGAAUAUUGCACAAUGGGCGGAAGCGUGAGACAGCGACGCUGCGUGCGUGAUGACGGCUUUCGGGUUGUAAACCGCUUUCGCCUGUGACGAAGCGUGAGUGACGGUAAUUGGUAAGGAAGCACCGGCUAACUACGUG